UUUCGCAAUGCCCGAAAGGGUGACGAAGCGACGCCGCGUGGGUGAGGAGGGCCUUCGGGUUGUAAAACCCUGUCAGGAGUUAAGAAAUGUAAAUGCGCUAAUAUCGCAUUUAUUUGACAAAGGCUCCAAAGGAAGCCACGGCUAACUCUGUGCCAGCAGCCGCGGUAAUACAGAGGUGGCGAGCGUUGUUCGGAAUUAUUGGGCGUAAAGAGCACGUAGGUGGGUUUGUAAGUCAGAUGUGAAAGCCUUCUGUUCAACGGAAGAAUUGCAUCUGAAACUACAAGUCUUGAGUGUAGGAGGGGAGAAUGGAACUUCUGGUGGAGCGGUGAAAUGCGUAGAUAUCAGAAGGAACGCCGGCGGCGAAAGCGAUUCUCUGGCCUAUUACUGACACUCAGUGUUCGAAAGCUAGGGGAGCAAACGGGAUUAGAUACCCCGGUAGUCCUAGCUGUAGACGAUGGGCACUAAGUAGAGGGGUUUUA
rnacentral:rRNA from 1 species